GAUGAACGCUGGCGGCGUGCUUAACACAUGCAAGUCGAACGGACAGGCGCUGCUUUUGUGUGGUGCUCGUGUGCCGCACGGGUGAGUAUCACGUGAGUAUCCUCCCCUUAUCUUUCUGCUAACUCUUCGAAACUUGGGCUCAUACCGGCUAGGAGCUCCUGCUCCCUGUUGGUGGUUGGAAAGUGUCGGCGGUUGGGGAUGGACUGUCGGCUUACGAGCUUGUUGGUGGGGUAGUGGCUUACCAAGGCUUUGACGGAUAGCCGGCCUGAGCAGGGGACCGGGCACAUUGGGACUGAGGUACGGCCCAGACGGCUACGGUAGGCAGCAGUGGGGAGUAUUGCACAAUGGGGGGAAGCCUGAUGCAGCAACGCCGCGUGCGGGAAGCCGGCCUUCGGGUGGUAAACCGCUUUCGCCUGAGACGAAGAGUGAGUGACGGUAAUGGGUAAAGAAGCACCGGCUAACUACGUG
rnacentral:rRNA from 1 species